GCCGUCGGCGCGCUCAGGCAGCCCAAGGGGCGCAGACUCACGAAGGCCAGGAUCUUGUCUCUGGGUGUCGCAGCCCCACGUGCUGACAGUAGUGCUUCAGUGGCGGUGCAACUGGCGGGUGGCGGUGGAAGCGUGAGACCUGGAGAAGCGGAAGGGCACUGGGAGAAGGACGCGGACGCCUGCAGGAAGUCAGGCCUGGAAGGCGCUCACAAAGAGCGGGCUGUCCUCUCAGGUACUGCGCCUGCCUGGGCCCAUGAUGGCAGGCCGAGCGGGCAGCAGCGGGUGGCCAGGGAGGCAGAGAGGCCGCAGCGCCAAGGGGCUGGUGGGCUCCCGCGGGAUGGGACGUGCUUUGGAUGAGUGAUUGGGGUGUCCCCCAGGCGGGUGGCCUCUCCGGGUGGUCCUCUCAUUCAGGAGGCUUGCCUUUCCUUCCUUGUCCCUAGUGGGCUGUUUCAGAGGGUGAAGUGUCAGUCAUCACGCUCGCUGUACAGUUCCUGAGGUGGCUCUCCAGGCCUGUGGCUUCCAGGAAGGGAUGUGCGGCCUUCACACAAGAUUCCCCCCAUGAAAUGUGGUGAGUUUCUUCUCUGGCUGUGAUUUCCAACCUGGAAUCGCCUUCAGGAGCAGAAAAGGGGGCAGUUUAUCCAACGUGAUCUUUCCAGUUUGAGGGGCAUUCUUAGGAUGCAUCUCUCCUGUUUUCUCAUAUGCAUUCGGAAUUUCAGAUUUUCUCAUUUCCUGAUUCUUAAAAGUAGACAUUGACUCCCUUAUUGCACAUAUCAAGUCAUGGCUUUUUGAAACACUGGGUGGAGUGAUUGUCAUCUCACUAGUGCACCAGAUUCUCAAGUAGUAAACUGACCUUCUUCCAUAUGUAGUCCAAUAUUGUAAGGAGAGGGAAUGAAUUUGAAAGUGGGCUGUGUGGUGAUAAUGAACUCUGACCAGAAUUAAAGACUAAGGAGGAAAUGCUUAGAUAGUACACACUGCUUCUAUCAUGAAGAAGUGUGAGUGCAGCCACCAGGUAGGUCUAUGUUGUUGUCAGUAUGAAGCAAGAUAUGCUUUGGGGUAGCCAAUAAUAUUUAAGUGUAGGUAGUUUUGACUAAUCAUCCUCAUGUACAGGUUUAUAUUUAUUUCUUCAGGCUAGGUUAGAACAAAAACCAGGACCACAACCUAAUUCUUGAUCAGUGCUUUAGUCCUAUUAUGUAGCAUGAUAUAUAGUACUCAAUUUUUUUUUCGUGGUUAUGCUCAUUUUAAAUACUUGAUUAAGGAAUUGUCUGCUAGGCCUUUCAUUUGUGAGUUACUCUUUUCCAUUUUGUGAUUAAUGAAUGACUUGUAGCGUAUUUGGGGACUCUAUAUCUUAAUCAUUAUGGUGCUUUGAAUUUACUCACAUUUAUUUUAAUAUAGACUUCUUGAAACUUAUUUUAUUCAGUGGGCUGUAAUGCAUUGUUUCAUUAUUUAGAUUUUCAAGUUGUGCCAGAUAUGAUUAGUAGGAAAUCUAAGUUGGCUUCUCAAUUUGGGCCAUUGUUUGAACACUUUACUUUCCUCUUUGUUUAUUUUUAAAAGUAUAAAUUGGCAAAUUUUAGUUGUAUAUAUUUAUGAUGUAUGAGGUGAUGUUAUAGUUUAUAUACACAGUGUGAAAUAAGCAUACUAACAUAUACAUCAUCUUAAAUACCAGAGUAUUUUUGUGGUGAGAACAUUUGAAAUUUAUUCUUUUAGUAAUUUUGAAAUGUAUAGCAUAUUAUUAUUUAUUUACCAUGGUGUGCAAUGGUUCUCAAAAAACAGGAAAAUCUAUUCCUUCUGUCUGAUUGAAAUAUUGUACGCUUUGACCAUUUUCUUCCCAUGUCUCCCAUGCCACAGCAUCUGGUAACACCAUUCUACUCUAUGCUUCCAUUAAUUUAAUUAUUUUUCAUUUCACAUGUAAAUGAGAAUAUGUGGUAUUUGCCUUUAUGGAGUACUUUCUUUUGACAGUAGAUUUUUCAGGUUCAAUGUACUCUUUAUUGGCUGUUCAAACUCUGAUAUUAGUUGUUUCUCUAAAAGCCCUGGUUGCUUUUAAUGUGGGCCUAGCACUUAGAAUCCUGAAUCUGGGUUCUAUAUGAGUUCAUUGCUGUUUGAGUGUCACUGCUCUGGCAUAUGUGUGUGUAAGCACACAUGCAUACACUUAUUUGUAUAUCAUUUACAUUUCAGUGUUUAUUAUUCAUUUGUUCUGAACUGUUCAUACAAUGAAAUGCAUUUUAAGUCAAAUGUGGUUGAAUUUCAAUAAAUCAUUAUAAUCUAAACUGCUUUCAAGAUAAAGAAUGUUAAACCACACCUGAGAAAGUUCCCUUGUGUCCCUUCUAAUUGAUUUUUUCCCACUGAUUAAAGGCAGUAUUCUGUUUUAUCCUACCAUUGAGUGAUUUACUUUGUCUUUUUAGAAUUUUGUAUAAAUCAAUUCUUCUUAAAAGAUUAGUUGUCAUUGGAUCCUUAUUUUGUUUAUUUAUAUUCUGUGCUGACAAUCAAACACAAUGCCUCACACAUGCUAGCAAGUAUUCUACCAUUGAGCCUCAACCUAGAAACAUAAUGGGUACUUACACUUUUUUGUUAUUGUUUUUGUUUCUUGUUUGUUUUAGUAAAAAUUGAAGGAGAAGUUUUAUUGUUUUCCUAGCAAUAGAGAAACAAUGGGACUCUUGUUCCAGAGGAUAUUGAUUCUGCCCAUCAGGAGGAAUAGGGUUUUUUUUUAAAAGAUACAAUUCAAAGGCUACAUUCCACCUAUUUUCUGUUCAAGGAGUUGUAACUCACUUGUUAAUUUAGGAGAUAUUCAUUUCUGAGAUCUUCUGGUGCCGUCUUCAAGUCUGAAUUACUUCAUUCUUAUUAUGGAUGUGAGUCUUAUUAGGAUGAGUAAGAAAGUCAUGGGAUCUUACACUCUGUGUCUGAAUCAAUAUGCUUUUGAGGUUCAUCCAUGUUGCUUGAAUCAAUGUUUUGUUUUGUUUUCUAUUUUAUUACUGCAGUAGUAUUCAUUUUAUGAAUAUAUCAUAGUGCAUUUAUUUUUUCCAUUGAAGGACAUGUGAGCAUUUUCCAGGCUUUGAACUUUAUCUUACUAGAUGUAUUGGGGAAAAAUAUGUAUGUGUAUGUGUAUAUGUGUGUGUAUACACACAUAUAUAUGUAUGUAUGUAUAUUUCAUUUAGGUAAAUAACUCAAAGAGUGGAAUGGCUACCACAUAAGGUAGAUCUCUGUUUUGUUUUAAAAGAAACUGUCAAAAAUUCUGAACAUUGUCAUGAGCAAUAUAUGAGAGUUCCAAUUGCUGCAUAUCUUCACAUUGUUUAGUGAUGUUAGUCUUCAUACCUUAGCCAUUUCUGCUGGGUAUAUAGUGGUAUCUCAUUGUGGCUUAGGGUUGUACUCCAUGAUGACUAAUGAAGUUAACAACAUUUGACUGUCUUUUAUUGGCCAGUCAUUCUUUUUCUGUGAAGAAUAGAUUUGGAUCAUGUCUAUUAUUUGUUGAGUUGUCCUGUUAUUACUGAGUUGUAGAAGUAUAUUUAGUAGGACUGGAUAUAGUCCUUUGUCAGAAAAAUGUUUUGUAAUGGGAUUACAGGUAUGACCUACUCAAGUUUUCAACUUUUUUUUUAAACUGAGCCACUACUGUUUCUAUCAAAUCCAUGUUGCCUGAUCACUUAAUGCUGUAUAGACUUAUGCACAGAAUUAGAUAAUAUUUUGAAAAGGUUUUUGUUUGUGUGUGCAUGUGUGUGUGUGAAGGAUCCUCAAAAUCAGGGGGCACACCUGUGGUCCCAGCUUAUGGGGAGACUGAGACAGGAGGAUCAUUUGAGUCUCAAAGUUCCACUGGAUUUGUGUGCAUUAUUUUUUAAGCUUUAUUUAAAAUAAUACUUGGAGGGUGUGUGUGUGUGUGUGUGUGUGUGUGUGUGUGAGUGACUGCUUACAAUGAAUAGACAGCUGGAGACCCAUCCAUAACCUUGAGCCCCUGAGCCUCCAUUCAUGACCUUGAGCCCCUUACCCUCCAGAGGUUUUGCAGAAACAAGAAUGUAGCACACAACACCUCCCCAUAAACACACUAUAUUAUUUACUAGACAGGCCAGCUGAAGUAUGGUGUGCCUUUCUAACAAUGUGUGGUUCUAUUUGCAUAUAUAUGACAUCUGUAUUAGAGAAUGCUAAGACAGAACCUGAUGAAGCAGAGUUGCUCUCUUUCUCUUAAAAUAAAACCACAGUCUUGCACCCUUUUCAAAUCACUGGUUUUGUAACAUCCUGAUACGUUACAUUUGUGAAACCAAGAAUAAGAAUGAUGUAAGAAUGAUGUAAAUAAAAAGUCCACAAAGUACUGCAUCCAUCUUGCUAGCAACUGUUAUAAGGAUGCAGGUGUGUCACCAAGGAAAAGACAAGCUGUUCCCCAGCCACAGUAUGAAAACUCAGGAACUUACCUUUCCCUGGAUCUUUCUUCAAAUCACUCUGCAAGGUGUUUUUUUCUCAGAGAAUUAGGGUUUUAACAGCUAACAAAGUAUGAGAAGAUCUCUUCAACUUCAGUACUUCUGGUACUCCCAGGCCUCUGCAAGACUCAGUCUUCAUCUGGGCAUGGUGGUAUACAGCUGUCAUCCAAGCAGCUGGGGAGGCUGAGGAAGGAGGAUCACAUGUACAAAAACAGCCUCAGGAACUUAGCAAGGCUGUAAGCAACUUAGCAAGAUCCUGAAUCAAAAUAAACAAGAUUUGGUGAUGUGGCCUAGUGGUAGAGUGCCCCUUGGUUUAAUCUCCAGUAACAAAAGAAGAAAAAGGAAGAAGAGGAAGAGAAGAAGGAGGAGGAGGAGGAGGAAGAGGAGACUCAGUCUUUGGACUCAUACUCAGUUUUUACUGUGUGUAAAUGUUAACAAUUACAUCAUUUAAAAAUGUUUUUAAAAUGAUAAUAGAGAUACUUACUGAAUGCUCACCAUAGUGCUCUAAACCAGAUACCUUCACUGAAUUUUGCUGUUCUGGCAAUAAUAAACCGAC
rnacentral:lncRNA from 1 species